UACGUAGGUGGCAAGCGUUGUCCGGAAUUAUUGGGCGUAAAGCGCGCGCAGGCGGUCCUUUAAGUCUGAUGUGAAAGCCCACGGCUCAACCGUGGAGGGUCAUUGGAAACUGGGGGACUUGAGUGCAGAAGAGGAGAGUGGAAUUCCACGUGUAGCGGUGAAAUGCGUAGAGAUGUGGAGGAACACCAGUGGCGAAGGCGACUUCCUGGCCUGAAACUGACGCUGAGGCGCGAAAGCGUGGGGAGCAAACAGG
rnacentral:rRNA from 1 species